ACGUAGGGUGCAAGCGUUAAUCGGAAUUACUGGGCGUAAAGCGUGCGCAGGCGGUUUUGUAAGACAGUGGUGAAAUCCCCGGGCUCAACCUGGGAACUGCCAUUGUGACUGCAAGGCUAGAGUGCGGCAGAGGGGGGUGGAAUUCCGCGUGUAGCAGUGAAAUGCGUAGAUAUGCGGAGGAACACCGAUGGCGAAGGCAAUCCCCUGGGCCUGCACUGACGCUCAUGCACGAAAGCGUGGGGAGCAAACAGGAUUAGAUACCCUGGUAGUCAAGGGCG
rnacentral:rRNA from 1 species